GACCUCGGAUCAGGUAGGAAUACCCGCUGAACUUAAGCAUAUCAAUAAGCGGAGGAAAAGAAACCAACAGGGAUUGCCCUAGUAACGGCGAGUGAAGCGGCAACAGCUCAAAUUUGAAAUCUGGCCCCAGGCCCAAGUUGUAAUUUGAAGAGGAUGCUUUUGGCGCGGUGCCUUCCGAGUUCCCUGGAACGGGACGCCAUAGAGGGUGAGAGCCCCGUCUGGUUGGAAACCAAGCCUCUGUAAAGCUCCUUCGACGAGUCGAGUAGUUUGGGAAUGCUGCUCUAAAUGGGAGGUAUAUGUCUUCUAAAGCUAAAUAUUGGCCAGAGACCGAUAGCGCACAAGUAGAGUGAUCGAAAGAUGAAAAGCACUUUGAAAAGAGGGUUAAAUAGUACGUGAAAUUGUUAAAAGGGAAGCAC
rnacentral:rRNA from 1 species